CAGUAGCCGCGGUAAUACGUAGGUGGCGAGCGUUGUCCGGAAUCAUUGGGCGUAAAGGGAGCGCAGGCGGGCAUGUAAGUCUUUCUUAAAAGUUCGGGGCUCAACCCCGUGAUGGGAAAGAAACUACAUGUCUUGAGUACAGGAGAGGAAAGCGGAAUUCCCAGUGUAGCGGUGAAAUGCGUAGAUAUUGGGAGGAACACCAGUGGCGAAGGCGGCUUUCUGGACUGCAACUGACGCUGAGGCUCGAAAGCCAGGGGAGCGAACGGGAUUAGAUACCCCUGUAGUCCCUGUCUCUUAUACA
rnacentral:rRNA from 1 species